GCAGGACUCAAGAGCGGGAGCCACGACUCCAUGUGCCCAAACAUGGGGAUGGGCAGCCGCCGGGCCCCUCUGUCUCGCGAAGUUUCUCAGGACCCUGGGCUUUGCCACGGUCUCAGUCCUUCUCAACGUCUCCCUCGCUUAAUGCGCCUUCUUUCUUUUUCCUGUCCCUUCAAGAAUUAGAGUGGUCCUUUAAUUCUUUUUAUUUCCUCUCUUUUCGAUUUCCUUCUUUUGCGUCCAUCCUUCCUGCUUUCCUUCUUCCUCUCCCUCUUUUUAAAAUUGCAUUACUGUCAUACCUGGUUUCCCUGCAGUUCUUGGGUGGAGUUCGAGGACCCUCCCUGGUGGAAGGCGUUUGUGUUCUCCCAAAAGAGGAGCCCUUCAGACAGAGGCUUCAGAGCUCAGCGUGGCGCCGACGGGACCACCUUUCCCUUCUCACCUCUUUUCCUCUCCACCUUUCAGGAAACUACUAUCUAUCCAUCUAUCAUCUGUGUACGAGGAGAAGGAGGAGGAGGAGGAAAAUGAGAAUCCACGCAAAGUUUUCCAAGCUCCCUGAAGUGGUAAAUCUUUUCUUCAACCUUGCUUUGACUGAUGCAUUCGGUUUUGUGGGAAUUUUGGCUCCCACAAGCUGCUUGCUAAAGGGCCUCGUCCCCAUUCCUGUUAAAUAUAGUCAAGGGCAAGAUGCUCAACAUUUGAUUCCCAAAGGGCUCAGCAUAGCAACCUUCCUUUGGGGCCAUCCCGGCUGGGCAGCAAAGAGAUCGCGUGGGAGGGAUGCGGGGACUGGAAUCUGUACAAGGGUCGCUCCCUGCUACCCGGAUCCCGGCCCCCUUCGGACCCUUCCGCAGAGAGAAACAGGAAAAUGCCUUCAGAGACCUGUGAGCGCCAGGGUAUUGGCUGGGUAUAUGACGCCUCUGGGUUAUCCCACAGCAUUUUCACCGGCCCAACCCCAACUCAGCCAGGGGAGGGGAGCCCCAUCAGAGAUGGGCAAUGGGACAGGUGAUGGUGAGCGCUGUGAAGAGACAUGUGGAGAAACAGUAGAGAAAAAAGGCUGAGAGUCUGCUCCUGCUACAAAGACUGCCCUGAUUCUGCUUAUCCCGGCACCAUCUUUGCACUUUCAGGCACUUAGAUUGCUGCUUUGGGUACCAGUCUUAGAAAUAUGGCCUCCUUCCUGUCCUAGAACUUUCUAAGGCCCAACUUUCUAAAACACUGGCAGCCCUAAUGCCAGAGUGGCUUCUAGUUCUUUAGCUUAGCUAAGCAUAGAGGAAGACCCCUGGUUUUAGGAACAGACAGAUUGAGGGCUGAAUUCCAGCUCUGCUACUUUCUAGCUGUAUUUUUUAGACAAGCCACUUAACUGCUCUGAUUAUCAUUUUCCUCACCUAUACAAUGUAGUAGGCACUCUGCAAAGAGUGGCUGUUUUUAUCAUGCUUAGCCCCAUGUACAAGCUUCAGAUGAAUAAGAGCCUGAUAUUUCUUUUAUUUAGAGACAGGCACUCGGGGACCCAGUGAAAAGAGCCCUCACUCCCAGGAAUUAAUAGUGAGGCCCCUCCCAGUCCAGCCACAUGGCUGCUCAGGUGAAGACUCUAGAGCAGAUUCGGCAGCAAGGAAGGGUAUUUACGGAGAUCCACAGACAAGCCGGGGCCUGAGGGCACUGGCCAUGGAGAGAGACAGGCCCAGAGAGGGCCUCAUCUUCUGGAAUAACAGAGAAUGGAUACAGGAAGAGGAAGAUUAUUCAAAUAUUUCUUGGUUGGGCACAUCAAUAGCUGAGAGACUCCUCUGACCAUGGCCAGCCUCAGGAAGUGAGUGUCAACAGCCUUGCAGAUGGAAACUCAACUCCUGAGUACCCAUGCCUGAAAAGACGUAAGUCCUGCUCCCACCGGCACCAGACCCCCUGCCCUCCCUCUACCCCAAUACUAGAACUCCAGACCUCACCCCUCCUCCCCAGAGACAUAUCAACAGGAAGUUAAGUGAGCUGGAACACUUUGUUCCCUUGACAUUUCUGUUUUAAUUCUGCAGCUGCGUU